AGUUGUUUACUGAAACUUAGAAGCAAGGGGGUGAAGAGAACCAGGAAGCUAAACUUUAAAAUGGAGAAUCAAAGAAUAAGAGAGCUGAACAUACUGACAUACUGAUUCUUUGAAGAGAAACUUGGGGUUCACUAUAUUUAACAGGAUCAAAGGAAAAGAAACCUGAAUUUCCAUAUGUUUGAUUAAAUGAGUCUUAAACCCUGAAGUGUGGAGAGGACCAAUUGUGGCAGUCUUCUGUGUUAUAAAAACAUUUAAUUAGAAUCUCUCUUCAUUUAGCAUAACUAUAGAACCUUUUAGACACUCCUAGAAUAUGCAGAGAAAUGGAAAACUUCAGAAGAUCCUUUACCUUUAUUGGAGGUAUACACAGUGGCUAUCCAAAGUUAUGUUAAAGCCCGACCUUAUCUUACCUCUGAAUGUGAAAAUGUAGCCUUGGUUCUGGAACGCUUGGCAUUAAGCUGUGUUGAACUUUUACUGUGUCUGCCUGUUGAGUUAUCAGAUAAACAGUGGGAACAAUUUCAGACACUGGUGCAGGUAGCUCAUGAAAAGCUGAUGGAGAAUGGCAGCUGUGAAUUGCAUUUUUUAGCUACUCUAGCUCAAGAGACUGGGGUGUGGAAAAACCCGGUACUGUGCACUAUUCUUUCCCAGGAACCAUUGGAUAAGGAUAAAGGAUUCCAUCCAGGAUACCACAUUACAUUUAGUCGUCAUGUCUUCUUAGGCUCCUCUUGGCUGUGACAGUUUUUCAGACUUUCCUUGUUUUUGAUGACCUUGACAGUUUUGAGGAGUACUGGUCAGGUAUUUUGUA
rnacentral:lncRNA from 10 species